rnacentral:rRNA from 1 species
GACGAACGCUGGCGGCGUGCCUAAUACAUGCAAGUAGAACGCUGAAGGAGGAGCUUGCUCUUCUUGGAUGAGUUGCGAACGGGUGAGUAACGCGUAGGUAACCUGCCUGGUAGCGGGGGAUAACUAUUGGAAACGAUAGCUAAUACCGCAUAAUAGUAGAUGUUGCAUGACAUUUACUUAAAAGGUGCAAUUGCAUCACUACCAGAUGGACCUGCGUUGUAUUAGCUAGUUGGUGAGGUAACGGCUCACCAAGGCAACGAUACAUAGCCGACCUGAGAGGGUGAUCGGCCACACUGGGACUGAGACACGGCCCAGACUCCUACGGGAGGCAGCAGUAGGGAAUCUUCGGCAAUGGACGGAAGUCUGACCGAGCAACGCCGCGUGAGUGAAGAAGGUUUUCGGAUCGUAAAGCUCUGUUGUAAGAGAAGAACGAGUG